CAUGACCUUUAUAUCCAGGGCUACACACACGCUACAAUGGUCUGUACAAUGGGUAGCCAAGCCGCGAGGCGGAGCCAAUCCUGAAGGCAGGCCUCAGUUCAGAUUGCAGUCUGCAACUCGACUGCAUGAAGCCGGAGUUGCUAGUAACCGCAGGUCAGCCAUACUGCGUUGAAUACGUUCCCGGGGCUU
rnacentral:rRNA from 1 species